GAAAAUCCGUCGACUUUAAAAAUCGUGAGGGUUCAA
rnacentral:tRNA from 1 species